GUCAGGUUGAUCCUGCCGGACCUGACUGCUAUCUGAUUGGUACUAAGCCAUGCGAGUCGUUGUACAAUACAAGGCGGACUGCUCAGUAACACGUAGUUAACUUAACCUAUGGAUGGGCAUAACCUCGGGAAACUGAGAAUAAUACCCAAUGGACCACAGUGCCUGGAAUGGCCUGUGGUUGAAAUGAUUUAUCGCCGUAGGAUAGGACUGCGGCCUAUCAGCUUGUUGGUGAGGUAAUGGCCCACCAAGGCUAUAACAGGUACGGGCUCUGAGAGGAGGGGCCCGGAGAUGGGUACUGAGACACGGACCCAGGCCCUAUGGGGCGCAGCAGGCGAGAAACCUUUGCAAUGUGCGAAAGCACGACAAGGUUAAUCCGAGUGUCUCCUGCUAAAGGAGUCUUUUGUCAGUUGUAGAAUCACUGGUGAAUAAGGGGUGGGCAAGUUCUGGUGUCAGCCGCCGCGGUAAAACCAGCACCUCGAGUGGUCAGGAGGUUUAUUGGGCCUAAAGCAUCCGUAGCCGGUUGCAUAAGUUUUCGGUUAAAUCUCUGCGCUUAACGUAUAGGCCGCCGAAAAUACUGUGCA
rnacentral:rRNA from 1 species